rnacentral:rRNA from 1 species
AACGAACGCUGGCGGCAUGCCUAACACAUGCAAGUCGAACGAGACCUUCGGGUCUAGUGGCGCACGGGUGCGUAACGCGUGGGAACCUGCCCUUAGGUUCGGCAUAACUCCCCGAAAGGGGUGCUAAUACCGGAUAAUGUCUUCGGACCAAAGAUUUAUCGCCUUUGGAUGGGCCCGCGUUGGAUUAGCUAGUUGGUAGCGUAAAAGCCUACCAAGGCGACGAUGCAUAGCUGGUCUGAGAGGAUGAUCAGCCACACUGGGACUGAGACACGGCCCAGACUCCUACGGGAGGCAGCAGUGGGGAAUAUUGGAAAAUGGGCGAAAGCAUGAUCCAGCAAUGACGCGUGAGUGAUGAAGGCAUUAGGGCUGUAAAGCUCUUUUACCCGGGAUGAUAAUGACAGUACCGGGAGAAUAAGCUCCGGCUAACUCCGUG